rnacentral:lncRNA from 1 species
UACCUCUUCGUGAUUUUCUCCUCCCUUACUAUUAGUUGUAGCCUCCUUUGACAUGACAUUCUAUGUGUCCCCAUCCAAUCUCCCUCUAUCGGCCUACCCCUUCUUACUCACAACCGAAGUACCAUCACCAUGAGUGCCAAUUGUGGUGGCCUCCGUUGCCAUGGCAUUUUGUGUCCUCCCAUCCAAUUUCCCUUUGUCAGCCUUCCUCUUCUUACUCA